rnacentral:rRNA from 1 species
UACGGAGGGGGCUAGCGUUGUUCGGAAUCACUGGGCGUAGAGCGCACGCAGGCGGAUCGAUAAGUCGGGGGUGAAAGCCCGGGGCUCAACCUCAGAAUUGCCCUCGAUACUGUCGGUCUCGAGGCCGGGAGAGGUGAGUGGAAUUCCUAGUGUAGAGGUGAAAUUCGGAGAUAUUAGGAAGAACACCAGUGGCGAAGGCGGCUCACUGGCCCGGUACUGACGCUCAGGUGCGAAAGCGUGGGGAGCAAACAGG